rnacentral:rRNA from 1 species
UACGUAGGACCCAAGCGUUAUCCGGAGUGACUGGGCGUAAAGAGUUGCGUAGGCGGCUCGUUAAGUGGAUAGUGAAACCUGGUGGCUCAACCAUUCAGACUAUUAUCCAAACUGGCGAGCUCGAGAAUGGUAGAGGUAGCUGGAAUUUCGUGUGUAGGAGUGAAAUCCGUAGAUAUACGAAGGAACACCGAUGGCGUAGGCAGGCUACUGGACCAUUUCUGACGCUAAGGCACGAAAGCGUGGGGAGCGAACAGG